GGAAGUGGGGAGUAAACACUAAUAUUGUGUCAACCUACAUAAUAGAAAGAGAAUGUAUUUUUUUUUCUUCAUUUCAUGGCCUCAAACAUUUCUCCCAUCCGUGUAAAACUUAGAAACACCCUUUGUUUCAGUUUUUCAUAUCAUUUCCAUUUUUCAUGUUUUGUAAAAUUUUUUUCUGUGUUCACAUCAGCAUUCACUUCCGUUACAUUUGCCAAAGGAAGCUGUCGAUAUGUUUCUGUUAUUAUUCCUGUGUGACUUAUUGUACCUCACAGUAUUUAUUUGUUUUGUUUUUUUUUUCCAAAAUUAAGGAUCAUUCAUUUGGGGGUUCCGGAUAUUUUCUGUUUUUCAGAAUUUUUUAGCAGUAGACUAUUAGCGAUAAGCUAGGUGUUCCUAAAGCUUUAUCUUUGUCUCCUUCUGAGGAAGCCAUGGUUCGGCUUGCUUCUUCAUUUAUCCCACCUUGAGGAAAGUCCAAAAGCAUUUGCAGGGCAGAAGAAGCUGUCACACACAAUGUCUGUUAAAUGCCAAAUGUUUACGGUAAAAGCUGAGGAAUUAGUAGUAACUGUUUCUGUUUCCCUGUCCCUUUGAUUCUCCCAACCCUUAGCUGCUUUGCUUUGUUGUCAUGUUAAACUGAACAAACGUGUCCCUUCAUUUUAUAAUGUACAAAACUCUGUACAGUAUGUUUGUGAAUAAUUGAACCAGAAUAAUGAACAUUUGUUUGC
rnacentral:lncRNA from 1 species